GAACGAAUAGCGUGAGACGAAGAAUGCCGAGCAUCACGUGGGCGCGUCGGGAUACAAAGACGAAGAUGCGGGCAAAGGCCAGGCAAUUACGCGGACAGAACGUGAACAAUGACUCUGUUGGUCGUCGGCCGUAUUUGGAGUAUCGGUGUCAUUCUAUACAAUUCCUCUACCACCUGGGUCAUCGAACAGUUGUACGGUUAUACCGGCAUUAUUAUCUCGAGCGGUCCAACGACACCUGUGUAGUCGGUGACGGGUUACGGCUCUCCGAAAUAUCCAACCGAGAGUACGAUUUUCCCCGUUCGAUGAUUCUCGAUGCUUCGCGAUGCUUCACGAUGCUUCACGAUGCUUCUUGAUGCUUCUCGCCAUGAACACGACAGUCAUUGUACCGUAGCUACGCCACACGGACAACGAAAAAAGAAUCGGCCAGUCGAGAUCGAACGUACAUCGCUUGGAAAACACAGAGCGAAGGAAAGAAGAAAGACAGGUCGUCGUUAGAUUGGAACACCGUCGGUCGGCGAAUAGCUCUCGGCAGGUGAGGAGUCGUUUUCUUUCCUUACGACCUGGCAUAAAUCAGACCUGCGCCAAGGAACUCGUUACGCUCGCUCACGCCCUGCCACCACCCGCGCUCUUAGCAUUCGUAAAUUUUCCUCGACGAAGAAUACAGUCUUGAUGCGACUCGAGGCUCGCAAACAGUCGACUCUCGCUGAGCUUUGUAACGGAUACCUUAAACCCAUUUUCUCUUGCACCUGUUCCACUCGUCCUUCCUUCCUGCCGUCUGUUCUAACGAAUACCGAUUUUCAAACCUCGCCAGCAUUAGAAACCUAGCGCAAUGUCCCUUGCCAUUAGAACGAACCUGUUGCUUCGUAGCGGUCGAAGAAUAUUCGAACAGACCAGGAAACCUCUCGCGUGUCGAGAGUUUUUCGCGAGUUUUUCGCCGUGACGCGACACCUCGAGCAUGAGGAACGCGACGAAGAUAGGACGGGGGAGACGGGGUUAACGUUACAAACACGAAAACGUAGAGGAUUCGGGACACAGGGUGGAGGAUGAGUUAGGUUGGCCGGGUGUGGAUGCCGCGGUCCGUGCGGAGAAUGCAAAACGAUGAACGCGGUGUACGUAUGUAGUCGACGACGAUCGGUGCGACGGAGAGGCGUACGGCCAGGGUGAAGAGCGGCAGGGUGGACGGUGACGACGAAGCGUGUGCCGGAGGAGAGUAGAGAAAUAAAGGCAAUGAAUGAUGCCGUGCGGCAGGUGCACGGUAGAACGUUUAACGAGUGGUUCGCUCCCAGACUCCGUGCACCUGUAACGCUUGGACCGGACGGAUCGGCUCGCAACGAGACUCGUCUCCCUGUCUCCUCGUCGAAUUCACGCACCUCGUUCCUCGUGUUCCUUUAUUCGCGUUAUUUAAAAGCUUUCCAACGACGAAUCUCGACGGAUAGCGGCCUAUUCCUCGACCAUUUUACGGAAUAUUGAUUAACGCGGAAAAUUAAAGAAACUGGUUUAUAGCUUCGAUCGUCCGUAAUAUCCAUCGCUGGGAGGGCGAGCACCGCGAUAUUUCAACGAUCGUAAGUCAGGAAGCUGCAGCCCUCCAGCUUCGGAACGUGAGAAAUAAACGACGCCGCAUACGCGCGAGAUGAAAUACGAUCACGGCACGGCUAUGCUCGGAGAAAAGCCGCUUAAGAAUGCUCUCGGGCUCCAUUGCCCUCCUAUCCUCAGCCCCUUCUCACGCACACGUGUACGCAACCGACCAACGUCGCAUCGUCUUUCUCUCUUUUCUUUUCUACCUUCUAUAUUCUAUACUAUACAGCAGCUCACUCAUCCCAUUCUCGAUCGACCCACCUGUUGAGUUCCGGCAAUGCUCUUUCCCUGCAUCGCGUUCCGUCGCCGCCACGACAUAACUUUUUCGCUUUCCACCUCGAUACCAACAGAUCCCUGUUCGAAUCGUCGAAACUCCGCGUUUUCCCAUCUCCUUGUCUUGUUCUUGUCCUUAGUUUUUCUCGCGAAUCUUCACUCUGCUACCGUCUACGUUCGCAGCGUUCGCCAAGCAAUUUCAGAAAUCCUCCGCCUCUUCGCUUCGCUCUGAACCAAUCGAGCGAGACCGUGUCUCGAACCUCGAGAAAGCGUUUAAAGGACGAUUAUCCGAUCCGAGUUUUCGUCGAUGUCCCUUCGGAUUCGAAGCGAAGCUUUCCAAACCAUGUGCAUACACCGUAACUCGUAAAUACGUGGACGCCUUCGAUCGAUUUCUAAUAACAGUGCCUGCUUAUGAUUAAGAUACACGUAGGAGACAAUGGCAAAUUAAGACUAACACUCGCGAACUUUUCGCGGAACUCCGUAGGAGCAACUGCACCUAUCGAGGCCUUUCGAAAGCCAUCGGGCUGCCGAUGCCAUAAAUUUUGGUUUGUCGACGAGUUCUGUCACAGAUGUGUGCAAUGUGCAGUUUUGGUUGACAAAUUCUAAGAGACGCGAACGUUACAGUUUCAAAGUUCCCAGGAACGCACGUGUAGCCGAUGACCCGACGUCAUAGUGCUCUACAGCGCGUGUAAGAUGAUAAGAAUGCCCUGGAAGGGUCUGGCCACGGAGUGGGGAAGGUGACGAACCUUCUGGCAAGAGGAAUGAGUCGAACAGCUCAGCUCUUACCUCAGAACCUUGAAGGCAGAAAUAAAGUCAUUUAAAGAAAUUUAUUCGUAACGUGUAUAUCGUACGAAGCACAAAUGGUUUAAUUAAAUGGUAAAAAAAAAAAUAGAAAAUUCGUCAGAGUGCUCAUCAAUUUUAAAUAUUAUUGCCAGAAUCACGGUAGCCUUUUUACCAACUUGCGAGAAUCUUCCCUCCUAUCGUACCUAUAAUUUGACACUCAAACGCGCUGAGAAUAACGAACUCCUUAAAGAGUAAAUUCGUCUCAUAAUAUUCGACGCUCGCAGAUUCCAAUUUCUUCGUUGCAUACUAAUUUUCAAGAGUAAAUUUCAUCAUAUCGCUCUUUAUCGUUCAAAAUUAUCGAUUAAAAGAAUUCAUCUGAUUCUUAAUUCGAUGUUAUCGUUCGAUCGAUGAUUUUAUCAAUUUCAUCUUAUCAUAAACGAUCUUUAGAUCUUCUUAUCUGUAAUUUUGAAACAAUAUUAGCGGCACGCGUUUUGGAUCGUCCCAUGUCCUUCGAUGAACACGAUUGUUCUCAGCUAUUAACAACUAAACCUACCAGCGCCGGUCAAAUUGAUCGCUCUCGAACUUCUACAGAAAUUUAAGCAUAUUUAAACGUUAUCGUAUCGCUUCGUAAUUUCGGACUUUUCCUAAAACAUGCAUACAAUAUAUUUUUCGGUAUUUACUUUUAGUUUGCUCU